rnacentral:tRNA from 1 species
GGGCCGUUAGCUCAGUUGGCAGAGCACUUGCUCGACACGCAAGGGGUCACAGGUUCAAGUCCUGUACGGCCCACCA